rnacentral:lncRNA from 1 species
AUGAAAGUUGGACAGUUUGUUGAAAACACUGUCACAUUUAACACCAUGAUUAGUGUGUACUUCAUCGUUACUUUCCAGAAACCGCACAGUCUCAUUAUGAUCAGCUGGAUUUCUAUGAGUGAAAACUGUGAGAGGGUUCGACUGAAAUUCACUUUUUGUUGCCAAACAGUAUCUGCAGAAAUAUUGAGCUGUGCUGAAAUUUUCUGUAAAGCCACCAAUCAUGUGGGAGCCCAGAUUAUCGCCCAUUGUGCACGCAACAGUGCCUUUAUAUAUUUUUCCAUUGAAAGAUAUGCCCCUUUCCUCCAGCUCACACAAGUCUGACACUAGCUUAUUGAAAAUCUUAUCCAUUCCAAAGUAUUUGCAAUCUUUCUCUACACAGAGAAAUGCCAACUGUAUCUGAUCAACAGUUGAUCGUUGGUGUGGAUGAAAAUUUCCAAGUGUGAAGUAGACAGCCAAUACUUUAUGCUUUGUCUUGGCAGAUCCGAGUGGAUUAGCCACCUCAAAAGCAUCCUGAAAGAGCAUUACCUUUAAACUGUCUGGGUCUGAGGAAAACAUGGCAUUGGAUUUGAUGGCCCACCCAUCAGUGACAUCACACACUACAUCAUCUUCAGAAUUUGAACUAGGACUGUGCUGAUCUAAACCUUGCUGUUUCAGAAUUACUUUGAGGGUUUCCAGUAUUGGGAUGUAAUGAUAGUGCCUCUUCUGGCCACUGCGAUUGCGUCCAAGAAAGACUUCAACAGGUUCAACAUAGUCAUAGUGUGACUUGUAAUAUUUCAGCCUCUUGUGUUGCGUAGUUAAAUGACCCUUUUCAUGUAAUGCCUUGUGCAUAGGGCUCUGCUCGUAUAUACUAUUCCCAAGAGAUGUUACAGUCUCCUUUGGAACACCAUACUGCCCCAGUUCACAGGCUAGUGCAUCCACAGUAUAUUCCUGUUGAAUAUCACUUAUAGUUCUCAUUUCAUUUGCUAUUUCUGUUAUUGUGGAGGCUGGAACCAAAUAUUUUGCCUGUAAACCCAAGUAAAACUGAGCAAGACUCUCUAUGAAGUUGUCUUUCACUUGAUCACUGCAGAAAUUAUCACUUUGUUCUGCAUCAAUGUUAAAACUUUCAGGUUCUUCAGGUUCUACAUGUGAUCCUUCACCUUGGAAAGACCGUUCUGUAAGUUCACAUAUAUGAACUGGGGCUAUCUUGGUAACAUCCCACCCUUUAUGGUAUCUGGAAAUAUGCGUUAAAAAGGAUGACUUUACAUUGAAUGUCUUAGAACAUCCAUCAAAGGGACAUGUUACAGUCAAACCCUCAUCUAUGUGACCACUCAAAUGACACUUUAAAGUUUUAAGAUCAUCAUAUUCACUGCUGCAAAAAUUAAACAAGCACCUUAACUGUACAGACACAUUACGGUUCCAUGUUUGUGUGCUCCUUCUGUCUACAUGAGCUCGUGACAUAUGCACAGCAAGGCUACUGUAUGUGUUAAACUUCCUUCUGCAAUCCCUAUGGCCACAUAAAAAAGAUACAUUAUUAUUAUUUCUGUGUGUUCGGCAGUGUUUCAAGUAAUCAGUCGAAGACCGAGCGUUAAAGCCACAAAUGUUACAAGUCAACAUUUUUAAGAGAUUGAAUUUGCCAAUUGAAGGAUAGCCAGAAUCAGAACAGAAUCAAUAUGAAAACAAUAAAUUUAUAUCAGUACAGUGAAGCACAUUCACUUUUCAGGUACCUUCAAAUAAGUAAUCUGCGUUGGGCUGCAUGGGCCACUCUCUUUGGGCUGCAAUGUUUUCUGCAAUGAAAUCUGAUUCUACUUAACUAUCACCCCUUUUAAUUAUUACCAUGUUCAGUUGCAUGCUAACGUAACACAGCGAGCUAUAACAAUACACACAUGUGGCUAAUUUACACACACACACACACACACACACAAGCGCGCGCAUCCAACUUAUGGGCUAACGUUAACUUUAGUUGGGCAAACCACGCUUCAAAACAACGCAAAACCCACACAUUCAAAUGUUACCAUGAAACACACACGGCUACCAACUGACUAUCGAGACCAAAUUUCAUGUAAGAGGGAGAGAAAAAAUGGUUUUUGACGUACUUACGAAGCGCAGGCGGCUGGCUAAUGCUAACGCAGCUAGCAGCAAACGUCCACUCACAUACACACCACUACCAACUGCCUAUCGAGACCAAUUUAAUGUACGAGGGGGAACAAGGUGGCACUCCAUUCUCAUUCUCAUUCCACACAACCAACCUGUUUCCAACUUUCCUUGUGACUUGCAGAAAUUUAGGUAGGCACUGACCGCACUGAAAGUAAUGGCGUCGGAACAUUCUGGCUGGGGGAGAAAAUUCUGCCUUGCGCAACAGCAAACUUUCCAUAUUUCGCAAAAUGGAGCGAAUCCGUAGCAAAUCCACGGUAAAGGGACCCCUAAAUUUACGGAUUUUUUUAACAGUGUAGCACGAUUUCUUGAGUCAGGGGAGUGGGUUCUGGCAGUAUAUUCUCACUCAGCAUACUCUGUUCUGCUUGCUCACUGAGUGUGCACGCCAUGGAACCAGAGUCAAGCAUACCCUGCAUGUGGUGUCUGUUAUUAAUGCUGACAGGAGUGUAAAACAGUUUGUCAAACGGGCCAACUCUCUGUGUGUUUUGUACUACCACCUUAACACCAUCUGAUGCGGCUGCACAUGCUUUAAUGUAAUGCUUUUCAACAUCAUCACUGCCGAGGGUUUCAACGUCUGUGCCCACACAUCCCCUCACCAAAUGCGGGCCAGCUAGUUUAAAGGCUGGGUGUCAUGAGGUUGGGAGGUAUGGUGCCUUUGAAUAGGUGAGCGACGAGGGCAGUUUCUCUUAAUAUGGUUUGGCUCAAAGCAUGCAAGGCAUAGGUGUUUCUGCCUACAAUGCUCAAGGGUAGAAUGUUCAGGGGACUGGCAUACUCUACAACAUCUGGGUCGGACCUGACCUGGAGGAAGCUGCUUGUCUGCAACCUGGUUAUUCUGCGACAAAGCAUGGUCAAAAAGGCUGAUUAGUAAUUUCAGGCAACUGUCGUUACAAGGGGCCUUUACUGUCUCAUUUGAUCCCGCCUGCACCUGUGUUUCUCCGGGGUGCAUUGAUGUUGCUAGACCGUCAGCUGCAGGGGUCUGGAUGUUAGCUUUAACUGGUGUGAGACACUUAGACCUGGGGAGCAUACGUUCUUUCAUCUCAAGCUGGUAUCGAUUCACAUGCUCCUGAAUCUCACUGGCUGCCCACUUAUCUGGUGCUUUGAACUUGAAAACAGCAGCAAGGGUGGGAUCAGGGCAGUACUUCACAAACAUCAUGGCUGCCUCCUGGCAGGGAUCCUCUAUGUGCCGUCCGAGCCUCUUCAGGCUUUCCUCUGCUGCAUCAACUGCCUUAUUCAGUCUGACCCAAUAUUCUACAGGAGUUUCUCCUGGCACUGGAACUGUGCUGUAGAAAUCGGCCAUAGGCAUACACGAAUAUGUCAUGUCACUGAAAUGUUGCCUCAGUAUGUCAUAUAUAACAUUUGGAUUCUCACAAGGUUUUAACGACGGGGUGCUUCUGAGAGUUAUUCUUACAAUGUCCUUAGCUUUGCCCAUCAACUUGAACAUUAUUUCUUGGUACUGUUCCUGAAGGGGUGUUGCUCGCUUCUUGAUAUACAUUCUCAUCAGCUCCUCCCACUCACAGAAUGUAUGUUUAUCCGACCCAUCUCCUCUGAAAACUGGAGGCUCUCUCACAUCUGACUGCAGGACUAGCUUUGCCCCAGUCAGGUUAAGGUAAGUGGGCUCGCUGGGUGGCUGGCUUACACUGCUCUGAGCUUGUGCGGCCCCGUCAUCCCUUUCCCCACAUUCCCCUUUCAACUGAUCCCUAAUGGUCUGCCCCACCUGUUGAGCUAUGUGUGUUAUUAGGUCAUUUAAUGCUGGGUCUGCUGUGGCUGAAGGGUCUGAGAAUGAUUUACCUUUACCACUACUGGAAGAUGUGCAACCAAGUAUGCGAGUGGAACAGAAAGCUGGGGAGCCUGCACUACGAAUUGGUGUGCCAGGCAACCCCCCAUAUCCCUCCCUCUUCCCAUGGCAAAGCUUAACCCGUCACUUGAAACUUUUUCAUCAUCCAUUGUUCUAACAUAUAUACAAUGCAAACAGCAGAAUUAAUUUUUUUUUUGUAAACAACAGUCCAAAAAAAGGUGCAAGUGUUUCCUAGAACGCUCGGGAUUUGUGUUCAAAGCUUACAUUACAUUGUCCAUUACAGCAACCGCUGGUGACCAAACUGAUGUCGAUCGCGUCUCCACGAACCAUGAUGAGCAAGUCUGAAGUGGUGUGCAUCCGGGUCACGGCACCACUGUAGCUGGUCUGGCCUUAAACUCUGAUUGCCGUUAGUUCUCUGCGUUGUGUUGUGUAAAUAACCAGAGGAUUCAGCUCUCUCUUUGCCAGCUGGGGCAGAUUUAUUCUCCCAGAACUGUUUAAAAUAAAAAUAAAACAGUACAGCGACUUCACUUUACUGGACUUCUGCAUGAACACCUCUCCUCAGCGGGACCUCUAGGCGACUGAGGUGCAACAUCACAAUAAAAUCCAAUUAACAAAUAAUACUGCUAAAAUGUAUUUAUAAUCAUAUAUAACAAAUGAAAAUGCACUGCAUCGUGACCAUAUAGUGACAAGUACCUCAACAACAAAAUUAUAGUUUAGGGAGACUUCAUUUACCAGUGACAAUUCUACAUAUUUUUUUAGUUACAUAUAUCUAACAGUAAGUUGAAACAGUGAACAUGAAUCACAAACAAAAAAUAUAAUCAAUACACAUGACACAAAAAUAAAAGAGGGAGCUCACAUACCUGUUUAAAAUAAAAAUAAAACAGUACAGCGACUUCACUUUCUGGACUUCUGCAUGAACACCUUCAAGGGAGAGAGAAGGAUAGCGGACCACAUGAGAAGCCACCUGCAUGCUCAUAUGCUCUCAUCUGAGAAUGGCUAACUAGCAUGUUACAAUAAAGUGCUGUACUCGACAGAGAAACAAUAAUUCACACUAAAACAUCUAGCAGAACUGUGAGACAAAAUGUACAAAGGGAACAAGCAGUGUUUGAAUUACUUUUAGUUACUUUAACUGUGUUUAUUCACUCUGUAACUGAGAACACUAGCGUACGCUCACCUCUCCUCAGCGGGACCUCUAGGCCACUGAGGAAAAUAGCGCGCAGCUACAGGAAGUGACUUCGUGGGAAGUCAAAGGUCACACAAACAAAAUAAAAGCUCCCAAAAUAUAAAUACAGAAAAUAAACAUAUAUAUAAAUAAACACAUAUACAUAACCAAUACUGACAAUCCAAAAUAACACUGCAGGAUGGAUCU